rnacentral:rRNA from 1 species
AUUGAACGCUAGCGGCAUGCCUUACACGAUGCAAGUCGAACGGCAGCACGGGGGCAACCCUGGUGGCGAGUGGCGAACGGGUGAGUAAUGCAUCGGAACGUGCCCAUCGAUGGGGGAUAACUGCGCGAAAGCGUUGCUAAUACCGCAUACGACCUACGGGUGAAAGCAGGGGACCGCAAGGCCUUGCGUCGAUGGAGCGGCCGAUGCCGGAUUAGCUAGUUGGUGAGGUAAAGGCUCACCAAGGCGACGAUCCCGUAGCUGGUCUGAGAGGACGACCAGCCACACUGGGACUGAGACACGGCCCAGACUCCUACGGGAGGCAGCAGUGGGGAAUCUUGGACAAUGGGCGAAAGCCUGAUCCAGCAAUGCCGCGUGUGGGAAGAAGGCCUUCGGGUUGUAAACCACUUUUGGCGGGAAAGAAAUGGUCUGUGCUAAUACCACGGAUUGAUGACGGUACCCGCAGAAUAAGCACCGGCUAACUACGUG